UACGUAGGGGGCAAGCGUUACCCGGAUUCACUGGGCGUAAAGGGGGCGUAGGCGGCCGUGUAAGUCCGGUGUGAAAACUCACGGCUCAACCGUGGGACUGCGCUGGAAACUACACGGCUUGAGGACGGUAGAGGGAGACGGAACUGCUGGUGUAGGGGUGAAAUCCGUAGAUAUCAGCAGGAACGCCGGUGGAGAAGUCGGUCUCCUGGGCCGUUCCUGACGCUGAGGCCCGAAAGCUAGGGGAGCAAACCGG
rnacentral:rRNA from 1 species